AGCCAGGACUGAUCUAGUGCAAGAUGAAGUACUGUUAACUUUUAACGAGAACAAGCAGAGUUAAGUUUUCGUUAUGGAGAAUGGAGAAUGUGUUUGGGCAGAGUCGGACAGAUUUUAGAAAAGCGCUAGAGUACCAUCCUGCAGAAGACGACGAACAAAUUAGCACUUCUACAUUUUACUAGAAUAUGAUAGAGGAGUUAUACUGUUAUUCUCCCCUUUGCUUUUUCGCUGAAGCUCGUUUACGGACAACACUUCCCCUGGAACUGGAUCACGAUCACGAAAGAUAAAACCCGAAGGAUAAGAUUUUCAACAGAACCAAAACUCAAGAGCGGUACCCAAAACAAAGAUGUGGUUUGCAAGUGAAGCAGUGGUCAAAUAUCCUGUUCAAACUAAACAGAAUUCUCGUCAGAUCCGUUACUGAUGGACUGACCUGCCAUUGUGUGAUACUGAUAGUUCGCCGAAGGAUCUCUCUGACAUGAAAACGGCUAUACUGACGUCUGACAAAGUUACUCAGAAUGUUCUUUCUUCUCUCAUCUCUGACUCUCAUUUUACUGUGCCGGAAUGUCGUGCCCUUGUUAUUUCUGGAAGAUAAAGUAGGGCUGGAAGAUAAAGUACUGCUGGGAAUAAUCUAUACUCUAUUUUAAUGGUCUCCUUCUCCUAAAACUGUAAAACAUACACUAGUUACUGCCAAAAUGUUCUUCUACAAAUCCUCUACAAUGAUGCCGAACGAUUGAACUUGAAGAUUGAGUUAAUGUUCAAGAUGUUGCUCCGAUCAACAAAUUUAAGAUGACAAUUCCAGUUCAUAAUGUUACACUGUGCACGGGAUUUAGAAAGAUAAACAUUAUGUAUUAUAAUCCGUUGUUUCAAUAUUUUGUUUUCUUUGUUAAUCACUAACUGAUCGAUGAUCUAAUUAGGUUUUAUUUCUAACUUAAACUGUGAUCUGAGAGAAGCUUUAUCAGUGGGUAGUGUGCGUGCAGUACUGCGCCGUGACGUAAUGGGACAAAAAGUACCUGCCAGCAAUGGUCAACACCAAAAGCGCGGCGUACUGCGCGCGACCAACUAUUUCGCCCGUACAAUAUAUGGAACAGAUAUUUUACGAGUAUCACCCGUUAA